rnacentral:rRNA from 1 species
GUCUGUAUGAAGGUUAAUAUAGAGUUUCGCCUGCCCACUGAUUAAUUUUUAAAGGGCCGCGGUAAUUUGACCGUGCGAAGGUAGCAUAAUCAAUAGUCUCUUAAUUGGGGGCUGGAAUGAAUGGCUGGACAAGAAGAAAGCUGUCUUGAAAAUGUGAGUUGAAUUUUACUUUUAAGUGAAAAGGCUUAAAUAAAUUAAAGGGACGAUAAGACCCUAUAAAACUUAAUAGGUUAAGGUUUGCUUUUAAAAUUUUAGGUUUAACUAAAAGUGAAGCUGGGCUAUUGUAUUGGGGCGAUUGAGAUAUAAAAGUAACUGUCUUUAAAAAUAAAAUAAAUAUGUUUAGUGGUUUAGAUCCUUUAUUAAGGAUUAAAAGAGUAAGUUACUUUAGGGAUAACAGCGUGAUUUUUUCUGCGAGUUCUUAUCGACGAAAGUAGUUGCGACCUCGAUGUUGAAUUAAAAUUUCUUUUAAAUGUAGCAGUUUAAAGAGUGAGUCUGUUCGACUUUUAAAAUUUUACAUGAUUUGAGUUCAAACCGGUGUGAA